rnacentral:lncRNA from 1 species
CCUGGAUCUGCGAGUCUUGAAUCGGGCCCUGCACAAGCUCCCGUUCAAGAUGUUGACGCAGAAACGUAUUAUCAAAUGCGUCCAAGCCCAGGAUUGGUUUGCAGCGAUCGACCUGAAGGACGCAUACUUUCAUGUCUCGAUCCUCCCUCGUCACAGACCGUUUCUGCGGUUUGCAUUCGAGGGUCAGGCAUGGCAGUACAAGGUCCUCCCCUUCGGGCUCUCCCUGUCUCCCCGUGUCUUCACGAAGGUCGCGGAGGGCGCCCUUGCCCCACUCUGGGAAGUGGGCAUCAGGAUCCUCAACUAUCUCGACGACUGGCUCAUUAUGGCCCGGUCCCGAGAGGAGUUGUGCGAUCACAGGGACUUCGUGCUCCGGCACCUCAGUCAGUUGGGGCUUCAGGUCAACCGAGAGAAGAGCAAGCUCUCCCCUGCGCAGAGAAUCUCUUAUCUCGGUAUGGAGUUAGACUCGGUGAGUAUGACGGCACGUCUCACCAGCGAGCGUGCCCAGUCAGUGCUGAACUGCCUGAGUUCCUUCAGAGGCAGGACAGUGGUACCACUGAAACACUUUCAGAGGCUCCUGGGGCAUAUGGCAUCCGCAGCCGCAGUCACGCCGCUCGGGUUCCUUCAUAUGAGGCCACUUCAGCACUGGUUGCACUCCCGAGUCCCGAGAUGGGCAUGGCGCCGCGGUACACAUCGUGUCACCAUCACACCGAUGUGUCGCCGCCAAUUCAGCCCCUGGUCAGACCUUGCCUUUCUACGGGCCGGCGUGCCCUUAGAACAAGUGUCCCGGCAUGUUGUUGUCACAACAGAUGCCUCCAACCUCGUUUCCUGAUGGAGGGAACGGAGACGUUAUGUCCCCAUGCCACAACCUUGAACCAUUCGCUGUUGCCGGGACACGUUCUCGGCUCCUCAGCGUAAAACCUGAAUGAGUGGAUGCACCUGUCGCCUAUUUAUACCCGUAGGCACGGGGAGUGGCUCAGGUAUGUAAAAAUCCACUAGCCAAUUUUCAUUGGCGUUUUCUCUUAAACUCAGAGAUGAUUGGCCUCCCAAGUGAGACCCCAUAUGUCGUUCGACAUAACGUCUCCGUUCCCUCCAUCAGGGAACGAGGGUUACGUACGUUACCGAGACGUUCUUGA